rnacentral:rRNA from 1 species
AUGCCGGCCGGAGCGCCCAUACACGUGUUCAAGAACCUCCUGUUUGCGGCGACUGCCAUGCCGCAAUCAAGAUGGUUGCCAAGGCGUACAACAGAGAGACGACACGGCCAUGCCAUGAAGAUUGAUGCACUUGUUGCCGGAGUUGGCGUCCUUAUUUUGUCAAGCAAGCGUAGGUCCAGUGGCAUGGGAGCAACAUUGUUGAAGGGCCAAGGAUGGAUAGUUUGUACGCACAUCAAAGAGAAACUUGGAAUGUUUUUGUGCUCGGAUCUCGUUCGGAAGUACUACAUCAUGCAAUUCCCAAGUAAGUAUUUUCCUAUGAAAGUUUCUAUACUGUAUAAGAAAGUUGGUCUGAAAUAUUUGAGGCGUUGGCCUCUUCAGUGGCAUCACCCGACGAGCUCCAUGCGCAGAGGAGGCAUCUCCACGGGUUCCCCGAGGAACAACAAGAUACAUUUGAACUCGUUGCCGAUGAGUUAUCAAUUC